rnacentral:lncRNA from 1 species
AGCACUCCAAUCUCUGCCUUCUGCUCUGUCUUCACACGGCCUUCCCUCUGUGUCUCUGUGUCCUCUUCUCCUCUUAUAAGGACAACAGUGAUGAGAUUUGAGGCCUACCCCGCAUGCAGAUAAUCUGAUCUCAAGAUUAUCACCUUAAUUACAUCUGUAAAGACCUUAUUCCUAAAUAAAGUUGCCCUCUGAGUUCUGAGUGGACAUGAAUUUGCAGGGCAGGCUACUCUUCAACCCACUAUGCAGUGAGAAUGGGCUGUGCAGAGGCCGCCCACACCUGGCAGGGGUCAAGGUGAGCCCUCGGUCGCCACGUUCCCUGGGACUCCCAGGAUGGCAAGCCUGGCAGCAGUUCCUGUUUUCUUUGGUGUCAUUGGAAAUGCUACUGUUUGGAUGUAGUUUGUUGGGAUGCCAAUAUAUCAAGAAAGGCUUCCUUGUUCUCCCUCCUGAAAUUCUGCACACACGACUGUUUUUAGCAACAGUGAUGUGAUCUCUAUUUUUGGUGGCAGUUUUGAGCACCCUGUCCGUUGGAACUUUUUGUGUUGUAAACAGACAGGAGAUCCAGCCCAAAUGGAGGUAAGUAAUAAGGACCAUGCACUCACCUCGGUGGAGAGGCCACGGGUUCGGAGACCUUCAGGAGAAGUUUGAUCCAGCCGCUCAGUGAUGCAGCAGGGACCGAGAGCCCUUGGGUGCCCUGCUCCCUCCACAUUCCCAGGGGCUCCUCAUGCUGCCCUGGCAGCUCUGCAGAAGGCCUCCCUGAAGAAAGGCAGCUGGUCCCAGCUAGAGUCCCAGGGUUCAUGCUGGCUGAGCCCCCUUCUUGUUUCUUCCCCAACCCAGAGCUAUUCUCACCUCCCCUGAAGGCCUUCCCAGGUGAUGGGGGCCAUGGAGACUGCAUUGGACAGCUCUGUGCACUGUCCAUGAAGCACUUGCUGCAGGACUCCCUUAGAAACGUGAGGCUUUAAACACCUUGGGACCCCAGGAGGAGGCAUGUGUCCAGCUAGCGGUGCCCCUCUGUGGUGUGGAGAACGUUCUACUCAGACGUUCCUGAGUGGGAACUUGGCAGCACAACUGGGAAACCUGUUGCUUCCAGCCCCGCGGGCCUGUAGACCCCCCACCAGAGAUGGGCCCUCCUGCCAGGCUUCCUACCUUGUGCAACUUAGCCUCCUGCUGCACCCCAUCCACCAGCUCUGCCAGCACGAGAGGUCAUCCCACACGCUCCUGCUUCCAGGCCACCAGCUGUCCCCCAUGGCCCCCAUCUCCCCUGUACCCUCUGGACUUUGCAGAGACCCCUCUGCUCUCCUUGGGGUUACAGAGCUCUGCAUCUGUCUCCUCCCCUCCCCUGCAGCUGCUCCCAAUCCUGCACCCCACACAGAGCCUGGGGCUCCACACUCCUUCACCACUGACCACACCUGCCAGGUGCUGCCUGCAUCUCAACUCAGGCCACCUGCUCCCGCCCUCCAUGUUGGGUUCAUGCAGCGAUUCUCCCAGGCCACUCUGUGUCUCCCUCUGCUCCAGCAUCCUGCUGCCUAGGCGGCCGUGCCACUGCAGCCCUUGCUCCAGAGUACCUGCCUGGAAACCUUGCCCCGGCUCCCCAAAUGCACCUCCCUUCCCACAGGACAUCCAUUCAAGGCCACAUCCAAACCUCCAAAUGCCUCCUGAACACUUCACCUAGAGGCCUCACCUGCCUGGUGGCUCACGGAGGCUGGCGCCAUCGCCUCCCCCCGCCACAGCCAGACUGGUCUGCUCCCCCUCCUCUUCACGUCCCCUCUUGGUGAUCACCUGCUCCCCCAUUUCCCACCUCAAGCAGUCUCACCCUCCUCUGUGCCCCGCCCCUGGCUCCUACCUACGCAAGGUGGCAGCCUCUGGCCACCCUGCACGCCCAGCCAUGCAGAGCCUGGGAAACGACAGGACAUGUGGCUGUCCUUUCACGGCCCCUGUCACCUCCCCCAAAUCCAGCCAGGGCUGAGACGCCCCACACUGUGGCCCCCGGCAUAAGGCCUUGAUCCUUCCUGAGGGCAGGAUGGGGGCAGUUUUGUUCUGUGAAGUUCCUUGGCCUUGAGCUUAGCUGGACCCCGCUCCCGGAAAGCCCGAGAAACAGACGUUCCUCUGUGAAAGCCCCUUCUGAGCACCUGCAAGGAGCACUCUGCCAUCCCACUCCUGGUUCAGGCUUUCAUCCGCGUGGAGGGCCUUGUCUUCUGUGAGUCCCCGCCUCAGCCUCACCUGGCUCCUAGGAGGCUCUGGGAAGGUUAGCUGGGCUGUUCCCCAAACAAGGGGCCACAGGAAGGUGGGGGCUCCUGAGGGUCUGGGAGGCAGGGGAGACUAUGUGUGCCCUUUCUCUUCCGCACCUGAAACCUGACUUUCCCUCACUGGAGACCUGAGGAUGGAGUGCAGUGGCUUAGCUAAGCUUCUGUUAACAGCAUGCUCACUGUUUUGAAACAGAAAUGAAAGAACAUUUGGGAGUUGGGGUAUGUGCAGAGAAAACAUUUUCCUUGAAUGUCUUUACUGAAUGGGUGGGAAUAGGUAUGUGUGAAGGGGAAAAGUUCAGGGUACAGUGGUCAGGUCCUUGGGAGAUGUCGGGGAGGGCCGUCUGGCCCAGCUCCUGAGGAGGGUGGGCCCAGGCUCAUCCUAUACGCACUAGUCCUGACGCCUCACAAUUAAUCAAAUGGCUAAAAACAAACACAAAAGAAGCCCUCAGCAUUGUGUUACCAGGGCAGCGGUGUGAUGUCAUCUGUUCAUUCCAAGCUGUCACCCCGAAGCUGAGUGAAGUACGUGGUGAGGACAGGCAGAUUGUGCCUUACGUGCAUAGUGCAAAUAAGGUUUGUGUAGAGUAUUUUGCUCAUUGACUGUGGAAUUCAUUGAUUAUGUUAUUCACUGCACGUUCAGCUCCGCAAAGCGUCUUCUGUGUACCUGGGAGGAGCAUGGUGCCAUUUCCCUUCCUCCUUCAGACUUUCUUCUACAUGGAAGGCCCCGUCCUCCACAGGUCCCAGCCUCAGCUGACACUCGGGUCCCAGGAGGCUCUGCGAAGGUUUGCUGGGCGGUUCCCCCGCACGCCGGGCUACAACAAAGGAACACAGCAUGACACGUGCUGUGAACCUCAGCUGUGAGACAACCGAAGGAGAGACAACAUUCAGCAAAAACAGAGCCCAAACUGUCCCCGUUUCUCUCAGCCCCAACUGCUCCAUGGCUUGGAGUGCAGCAAAUGUUUCAGCCGCGCUCAAAGGGAAGGCUUUGCUCUGGAGUCAGCAUGCAGAGCUCGCCUCGACUCCCCUCCAUGCCGCUCCUCACCAGCACUGGCUGGGUUUGAAUCUCAGCUCCCUGGCUCCUCGCUGUAAGCCCUGGAAUGCAAACCCCAAGGGCCAAACACCCCGAGGCUCUCAGGUCCCAGGCGCGGACACCUUCCUGGCCUUGGCUGUCAUGGCCCAGAUGGAAGCAAAGACAACUCCCCUCUCCACAGGUCGGCUGGUCCUCCUGCCCCGAGAGCAGGAGCCCAGGCACAGGCUCUGUACAGAGUUCUCCAUCUACUUCUCCCAGGGUGGCUAUGCAAAGGCCGUCUGCCUCUCGCUCUCUGGGUCCCACCUGCAGCCUGUCCCAGUGGAUUCUGUAGGCUCCACAGUGAUGCUGGGAAAAGACCCAAACACCCGGACAAAGCACGUGGACAGCUGCCAAUGCCAAAACGGCAGGAAGCAAGGGAAAGGCAGCUGGCUCCGACCCUUUGCCAACCGUGUGCAACGCUGCAGGCACCUAGAGCCAGCGAGGAGCUACCAAACUGGUUCCCAUCUAUGCUUGCAGCGGCUGCUGUCGCAGAGGCAGGACAGGGGUGCAUGGCUAUGCCAAGUAUCCUUCUGGGAUGAGCCGAUUCUCUUGUCCCAGGUCGGGCAUGAUGGAGAGGCCAGAAGGUGUGUUUGAAUAGCAGGCAUUGGGGGUUUGCAAAGGGCUGUGAUUUCCUGGGCCUCCCGUCUUAGGCAGGCUCUGGGUUCUCCUUGGUUCUUCCCUUGGAGCAGGGACCUGGCUUUGGAUGACCAUGGAUCUUUCCUGGUUUCUGCUGUUAUCUUGCUGUGUGACCGAGGUCAAGUCCACACUCCCUUCCCAAGCUUGUUUUCUCUGCAGUAAAACUGCCAUUUGGAACUGAACCCUUCAAGGGGAGGCGGCUGAAACAGUGGGGGUGAUGCUGGGUGCUAAGCCCUACCCCUUCUCCUAAAUACCUACUUCUCUCCUUUUUUUUCCUUUUUUACCUAUUAAUGGGUUAGACAGCCAAAAACCCUCUCUGAAAGAGUGUCCUGGCCCAAGUCCGCCUGGGGCACUGUUGUGAGCCUCAAUUUCUACGGAUCUAUGCCUGGAAAGCUUUUAGCAUAAAACGUUUUAGGUAGAAGACCGGGAUCACGGAACAGGAUCAGGACCCCAGAACAGGACCGAGACCAUGAAACAGGAAGCAAGCUACAUCCAGCACCCAGUUCAGAGAGAGGGCUGGGGACGCCGACACUCCACCUCCUUCCCAGCAAACUCGGAAGGCUCCAGGGCAUCCCUGGAGCUGCUCUGGCAGAGAAGAAUCAGUGUCCACACGUGCAGCUCUCGCUCGAGGAAGGGCAGGGGCGACAUCAGAGGCAUGCUUUGCACAGCACACGCUUCUAGAAUGGCUGGGAUUUCAACCUUGAAAGUCUCAACUCCUUCUUCCUCCUCAGAUCUUGGGAUUUUGAAAGUGAUUCCUAAAUGCCUUUCGAUCUCAUUUUUGCCGAAGGAGAUGGUCCUAAUUUACUGCAUUCCAAUUGGAAACAUUUUUGAGAGUAAAAAUACCUGAAGACAUGUUGGGCCUGGAGGUAGCAGACUCAAAAUUAAAGCAGGGGCCCCUCUAUCCACCGCCCCCCAGAUUGCAUUAAACACAGCAUGUUGGGGAUCAGUGAGUUGCCAUGGCCCUGCAAUCAGACAUUUUGCCCUCUGAAAUUUAGCCUUGAUUUUGAAGCCCUGAGUUUAGUAUAUUUAGAUGAGCUGACGGGCCCAGGGAGUCACUCAGAAAGGGUAGAGGUCCUUCAGAGCUGCGUUAAGAUACAGUGGGAGGGGGUCAAAUUGCUAAUUUCAUCUGCCACUGAAAACUCCCAAACAGCAGAGAACUUCCCAGAAGACUUGUGAAGUUGGGAGUCUGCAGGUGGCGGGGGUUGGGUGGGGAGGUGAUGGCAUUCUACCCCUAAGAGAGCAUUUUGAAGUUGAAGCUCAACUUAAAAUAUUUGUGCCUAUUUUUGAGACAGGGUCUUGCUCUGUCACCCAGGCUGGAGUGCAAUGGCACCAUCUCAGCUCACUGCAGCCUCGACCUCCCAGGCUUGAGCAAUCCUCUCACCUCAGCCUCCUGAGUAGCUGGGACUACAGGCAUGCACCACCACACUUGGCUAAUGUGUGUAUGUGUGUGUGUGUUUGUAGAAAUGGGGUUUUGCCCUGUUGCCCAGGCUGGUCUCAAACUCCCGAACUCAAGCCACCUGCUCUCCUCGGCCUCCCAAAGUGUUGGGAUUACAGAUGUGCAUCAUCGUGCCCAGCCACAUUAUGCUUUUUAGAGGGACAUCACCAAUCAGACAGUGGCCUGGGCUGGACACAGCAUCCCUGGAAGACGGCCCCUCUCUAAGGUGUCAUCUGCCAUUAGCCAAGGACCCUCUUGUCUCUCUAGCUCCAAGUCUCCACAGAGGAUGUGCUCAAAAGUGAGUGUGUGUGGCCUUGCCCCCCACUUCUCCUGCCUGCAGGUGGGGAGGGAAGCAGGUGGCAGGAGGAGGUGGCUGUCUGGGGCUGCCCUCCUCUGUACCUGUGCGUGAUUUUACUCUAUGCUGAGUGCCAGCAGGGAGGAUGGGAAACAACAUUUCUGUCUGGUUAUCAAAUGAUCGCCAUCAUUGGCCUCAUGGCAUCACCACUGUCUUCAUUGCUGGCACCUUCCCGUCCUCCCUCCAGCCAGGGAAGUCUGACCCAGGCACAGGUGACAGGAAGUGUCACUCUGCCUUAGGGGUCUGCAAUCUUGGGAUGUCAAACAGGCCCCACGGUGCCUUGCACCCCUGGUCUCACACUCUGUAUCAUUUUCUGUACUGUUCAUGUGGUUCUCAAAGCAGGCGUGGCCAGGGAGUGGGACAGCUUUGUGUCCGUGUCUUGGAGCUGCUGCAAAGAGGCCCCGAGGGCCGGGGGCUCAGGCCACAGAAACGGAUCUUGUCCCGGCAGUGGGGGCUGAAGCCUGAGAUCACAGUGUGGGCGGGGCUGGGUCCUUCUCAGGCUGUGUGGGGGGUUCUGUCCCAGGCCUCUCUCCUGGGAGUGCAGGCACUGGCUCCGCCCAUGUCCUUCACCUCCCCUUCCCUCUAAUUGUGUCUGCCUCUGUCACCACAUCUCCUCUUUAUGAGGACAUUGGCCCUAUUGGAUCAGUGCCCUCUCUAAUGACCUCAAUUUAAAUCAGUGACCUCUGUGGAGACCCUCUCUCCAGAUAAAGCCUCCUUCAGAUAAAGCCUCUUGCGGAUAAAGCCUAAAGCACUGGUGGUCAGGACUUCAACGUGUGAAUUCCAGGAGGACACACUUCAGCCCAUUACAGACCUGAUGGCUUCUGCCAGACACCCAGCCGAUCCCCAUGGCUUAUGGAGGAAGAAGACAAGUGGAGACGGGGAGGUGGUCGGGCGACCCUUUCCACGGCCAGCAGCAACUGCACCCGUGUCUGGGCACCUCCUGAGUGCUGUAAGCCCCCAUGCAUCAUCAAGACGGAGGCCCAGGCAAGGGCAGGUGGGAGCUGAAACCCGUCUCAGGAGGUGGAUAUUUUUAUCAUUGGGUGUUUGUAUUUUUCUUAUUAUAAGAGCCUUCGUCUUUUUCUUCUUGCACGUCAUUUAUUGCUUGCUUUUAUUCUUAUCUGGUUGUUUUCUGUGUGGGUUACAGAUCCCCAAGCCACCUUCCCUUGGUCCCAGCCCAGAUUGUGGCUCCCCUGUGUGCCUCCCAGGCCCCAGGAUAGACGUCAACCGUGUCCCCUUGUGGGUGCCUUGAGCUUAGCACCUGCCUGUCCCUUCCAGGGGCCCCUCUAAUACAGGACUUACAUCUUCAUGAAGACACUAACUGUACUAGUGCGUGUUCUCCAGAGGAGCAGAGCCACUCAAGGUGUGCACAUCAGAAGAGAGCUAUUUUAAGGAACUGGCUGACGCUGGCAAGUUCAAACUCUGCAGGGUGGGCCGGCAGGCUGGAGACCUGGGAAGGAGCUCAUGUCACAGUUCGAGGCCUAAGGCAGUCUGGGGGUGGAAUUCCUUCUUGCUCAAGGCUGGUCAAUCUCUUUGUUCUAGUCAGGCCUUCAACUGAUUGGGUGAGGCCCACCCCUUUUGACGAGAGCCACCUGCUUUACUCGAAGGCUAAUCUCAUCUAGAAACACCUUUACAGGUGCAUCCAGAGUAAUGUUUGACGAGCUAUCUUAGCACCGUGGUCCAGCCAAGCUGACUAUAGAAUUAAUCAUCACACCGUCUAAUGCCAAAAUAAUUCAAAUCUUUUUUUAAGUGAAAACAAGUUUAUUAAGAAAGUAAAGGAAUAAAAGAAUAGCUACUCCAUAGGCAGAGCAGCCCCAAUAAUUCAAAUCUUUACUGAAGUCCCAAGAGGCUUGUGGGAGGAAGGUGUACUCCGAACGCACAGCAAAAUCUUAACAUUUCUCUCUCCCUGGCCACUCUCCACAUUGCUUGCUAUGACUCCCCUGAAACUGCUCCCCUCAUUCUCAGCCUUGAACCCAGAAAUACCCCAGCCCCCAGCACUCCUGCACUUCCUUCCGCCUCCCACUUUGUUCCUGUCCUGUCCUUCCUUCUCCUCCGCAGAUGACUCCCAGCCACUUCCAGUCCUCACCCUGUCCCAACUUCUCCACCUUUGUCUCUCCACCAGCCCUGAGGCCUCACCAUGCAAGUCCAGGCACUGAGCCAGCAAAGGCAGAAUCCACCGCCCCCAGCACCACCGUCCAAAGUGGAGAUGAUGUCAGCAAAGGGGAUAUUGAAGCAGAUGGAGUGGUACAGAUGGUGGGUCACUAAAACGCAGGUUGAAGGUACGUGCUGCCACGGGCUAAGCCAAGAAGAUGGGAAGGUGGGUCUGUCUGUUGGAAUAUAAAUCCUUGGCCCCAGUGUUCCUGGUGGAGAGUCCUCCAGUAUGAAUGCUUGCUGGGCAUGCUCAGUUUAGGAGGAGUUAAUCCAACAGGUCCUAUUUCUUUCAUAAGGACUGAGGCCACUGUGGGAGCAUGGGCUGCCUAAUGCCGUCCCAGCUGUUGCUAAAUGAAAGGCCGGGCCUGCUAUGUAAAUGUCUUAUUUGAUGCCUUUUCUAUGAUGCAUGUCCUCCUGGAAUGGGGCUCCUGGCUUUGUCAGUCCUGGAGACCCACAGGGAUGUAGAUUGUGCCUUUUGGAAAAUGCUUCCAGUGACCCACAUGUUACGUGCCUCUGUCCAUAUUUUCAACAAGCUUUUCAGAGCACAGUUUUAAUGUCCAUUAAGGAACUAUCUCAUUUGGCCAAGGGAGGCAUACACGGGUGAGUACUCUAAGAUAACACAAUUUGAAGAGAUCUGAUAUGAAACUGUCACACUGGGGUAUGAUCAUUCUCACUGCAAGAGAAAUACUUGAUUAAAAUGCAUUGAAGACAUAUUUUAAAUUAGACCCUCUCGCAGUGCAUUUAAGACAGAUCCACUUUACUUUCCAGGCUUUUCACAUCAAGUCAUGCCUGUGCCCACAGACAGGGGAGGAGGUGGCAUGAGGCUCCAAGCUCUGGAGCCUUGGAAGUCAGGCAGGCCCCACUGGAAUCACAGCCCCCUACUCCCAGGCACACCUAAGGAGUCAGUCUCUCCUGACCGAUGGAUCCAACUUCACAGCUGCGACUGAGCACCAGGGGGACGUGGCGCUGGGAAAUUGUCCCGGCAGACGAGACUGAACCCUAGAAGGGCCCCAUGGUAAAACUGAUAAAGCCUGAAAUGUGUGUGCAGACAUGGGCCUCUUUAUUACCACACAACGACCAUUAAAAUCUCUCUGCUAUGGUGUAAUUAUUUUCCAUAAAUUAUUGGGGUACUGGUGGUAUCUGGUUACAUGAGUACGUUCUUUAGUGGUGAUUUGUGAGAUCUUGGUGCACCCAUCACCUGAGCAGUAUACACUGCACCAUAUUUGUAGUCUUCUAAUCCCUCACUGCCCCCACUCUUCCCCCCAAAUCCCCAAAGUCCAUUGUAUUGUUCUUAUGCCUUUGAGUCCUCAUAGCUUAGCCCCC